rnacentral:rRNA from 1 species
UACGUAGGGUGCGAGCGUUGUCCGGAAUUACUGGGCGUAAAGAGCUCGUAGGUGGUUUGUCGCGUUGUCCGUGAAAACUCACAACUCAAUUGUGGGCGUGCGGGCGAUACGGGCAGACUGGAGUACUGCAGGGGAGACUGGAAUUCCUGGUGUAGCGGUGAGAUGCGCAGAUAUCAGGAGGAACACCGGUGGCGAAGGCGGGUCUCUGGGCCGAUACUGACGCUGAGGAGCGAAAGCGUGGGGAGCGAACAGG